rnacentral:tRNA from 1 species
AACCGUUACACUUCCUUUCGUGCUUGUAUAAUCAAUUGCUGCUUUUGAGCUACCGCUUACCAUAUUUGACGCAAGCAACGCACUUACC